GGAAAAACAUUUUCCAGGAUCCAGAGCUCCUUUUCCCACUUGUAGGCAGGUCCCAGCCAUACAGAAGGGAUGGGGAUUCCAGGGAAAUCAGGUGCUGCUUUCAGUCCCCUCCUGAGACGUUUUCCAAGAUGUGGAGACCCCAGCAAUGAACAGCUUUGCUGGAAUUCCUCUGGAAAUGAGGAGCUUUCCCAGCAUCCAGCAGGUGCCAGCUCAGGAUAAACCCAGAGGAUGCUGAAUAAAGGAUCAUUUCUGUGGUGGUUAAAGGUGA